rnacentral:misc_RNA from 1 species
GAAAUGCGAUAAGUAAUGUGAAUUGCAGAAUUCAGUGAAUCAUCGAAUCUUUGAACGCACAUUGCGCCCGCCAGUAUUCUGGCGGGCAUGCCUGUUCGAGCGUCAUUUCAACCAUCAAGCCCCCGGCUUGUGUUGGGGACCUGCGGCUGCCCGCAGGCCCUGAAAAACAGUGGCGGGCUCGCUGUCACACCGAGUGUAGUAGCAUACAUUCUCGCUCAGGGCGUGCUGCGGGUUCCGGCCGUUAAACGACCUUCAUAACCCAAGGUUGACCUCGGAUCAGGUAGGAAGACCCGCUGAACUUAAGC